rnacentral:rRNA from 1 species
AGCAGCCGCGGUAAUUCCAGCUCCAAUAGCGUAUAUUAAAGUUGUUGCAGUUAAAAAGCUCGUAGUUGAAUUUCGGGAUUUGUCAGUUGGUCGGGCUUCACUGUCCGUAUUGACUUGAUGGAUUCUUACCUUCUGAAUAACCAGCAUGCUAUUAAGUUAGUGCGUUGGGGAAGCAGAUCUAUUACCUUGAAAAAUUAGAGUGCUUAAAGCGAGCUAGUGCUUGAAUAGAUUAGCAUGGAAUAAUAAAAUAGGACGGCAUGGUUCUAUUUUGUUGGUUUCUAGGAUCACCGUAAUGAUUAAUAGGGAUAGUUGGGGGCAUUAGUAUUCAAUUGUCAGAGGUGAAAUUCUUGGAUUUAUUGAAGACUAACUUCUGCGAAAGCAUUUGCCAAGGAUGUUUUCAUUAAUCAAGAACGAAAGUUAGGGGAUCGAAGACGAUCAGAUACCGUCGUA